GGACAACUUCCCUGCUACGCUGAUUCCAUAACGACGACGGCUUCCUAUAAAAACUUCGGUUGUCAAUUGUUUUUCAGCACACUCGUUCCAGCCAGCUACCAAGAAUGUCGUACAUCAAAAUUGUUGCCCUGGUUAUGCUUGCUGUCGUCGUUUUGGCCGAUGCCUAUCCCGCAGAGAAUCCUCGUCUUGUCGUAAGCAAUGGACAGAUGGAAGCACCCCAAAAUGUGCGUGUCACUCGUGACGACAAGUUUCUAUCACCUUCUGCAGGAGGCAAAGGCUACAAAGGGCAUGUUGGACCUGUCUACACCUUUGUCAAAACCGAUCCUAAAGCCAAUUUCAAAUGGGGAGUCCGCCACCGUGCUGGUGUCCAGUACAGUGGCUAGAAAUCUAAUGAUUGCAUUACAUUAAUUUCACAUUUUCGUCUUUCCAACAUUCGCAUUUGACGCAUGUUGAUACUAGUUCACUCAUUAACCUUGUUAUCCCGUAUUUAUUUGAAAUUUCGAAUCAAUUAUUUAAUAAAUGUGGUCUUCAAAA